UACGAAGGGGGCUAGCGUUGUUCGGAAUUACUGGGCGUAAAGCGCACGUAGGCGGAUAUUUAAGUCAGGGGUGAAAUCCCAGAGCUCAACUCUGGAACUGCCUUUGAUACUGGGUAUCUUGAGUAUGGAAGAGGUGAGUGGAAUUCCGAGUGUAGAGGUGAAAUUCGUAGAUAUUCGGAGGAACACCAGUGGCGAAGGCGGCUCACUGGUCCAUUACUGACGCUGAGGAGCGAAAGCAUGGGGAGCGAACAGG
rnacentral:rRNA from 1 species